rnacentral:ncRNA from 15 species
GUAGCCUUGCACCCUCGAGGUUCUUCGGCCCAGGCCGAAGCUAAGAAGGGAACGCGGUCCAAGCCGCGGCUGCCCCCGCAACUGUGAAGGGUUUAUCUGACUGCCACGCCACUGCCACUGCGGCGGGAAGGCGCAGUCGGCGCCGGUCGCAAGACCCGCAAGCCCCAAGCCAGGAGACCUGCCUCGCCACCGAUUUUCCAA